rnacentral:rRNA from 1 species
CAGUCGUACGCUUCUUUUUCCCCGGAGCUUGCUCCACCGGAAAAAGAAGAGUGGCGAACGGGUGAGUAACACGUGGGUAACCUGCCCAUCAGAAGGGGAUAACACUUGGAAACAGGUGCUAAUACCGUAUAACAAUCGAAACCGCAUGGUUUUGAUUUGAAAGGCGCUUUCGGGUGUCGCUGAUGGAUGGACCCGCGGUGCAUUAGCUAGUUGGUGAGGUAACGGCUCACCAAGGCCACGAUGCAUAGCCGACCUGAGAGGGUGAUCGGCCACAUUGGGACUGAGACACGGCCCAAACUCCUACGGGAGGCAGCAGUAGGGAAUCUUCGGCAAUGGACGAAAGUCUGACCGAGCAACGCCGCGUGAGUGAAGAAGGUUUUCGGAUCGUAAAACUCUGUUGUUAGAGAAGAACAAGGAUGAGAGUAACUGUUCAUCCCUUGACGGUAUCUAACCAGAAAGCCACGGCUAACUACGUGCCAGCAGCCGCGGUAAUACGUAGGUGGCAAGCGUUGUCCGGAUUUAUUGGGCGUAAAGCGAGCGCAGGCGGUUUCUUAAGUCUGAUGUGAAAGCCCCCGGCUCAACCGGGGAGGGUCAUUGGAAACUGGGAGACUUGAGUGCAGAAGAGGAGAGUGGAAUUCCAUGUGUAGCGGUGAAAUGCGUAGAUAUAUGGAGGAACACCAGUGGCGAAGGCGGCUCUCUGGUCUGUAACUGACGCUGAGGCUCGAAAGCGUGGGGAGCAAACAGGAUUAGAUACCCUGGUAGUCCACGCCGUAAACGAUGAGUGCUAAGUGUUGGAGGGUUUCCGCCCUUCAGUGCUGCAGCUAACGCAUUAAGCACUCCGCCUGGGGAGUACGACCGCAAGGUUGAAACUCAAAGGAAUUGACGGGGGCCCGCACAAGCGGUGGAGCAUGUGGUUUAAUUCGAAGCAACGCGAAGAACCUUACCAGGUCUUGACAUCCUUUGACCACUCUAGAGAUAGAGCUUCCCCUUCGGGGGCAAAGUGACAGGUGGUGCAUGGUUGUCGUCAGCUCGUGUCGUGAGAUGUUGGGUUAAGUCCCGCAACGAGCGCAACCCUUAUUGUUAGUUGCCAUCAUUUAGUUGGGCACUCUAGCAAGACUGCCGGUGACAAACCGGAGGAAGGUGGGGAUGACGUCAAAUCAUCAUGCCCCUUAUGACCUGGGCUACACACGUGCUACAAUGGGAAGUACAACGAGUCGCGAAGUCGCGAGGCUAAGCUAAUCUCUUAAAGCUUCUCUCAGUUCGGAUUGUAGGCUGCAACUCGCCUACAUGAAGCCGGAAUCGCUAGUAAUCGCGGAUCAGCACGCCGCGGUGAAUACGUUCCCGGGCCUUGUACACACCGCCCGUCACACCACGAGAGUUUUAACACCCGAAGUCGGUGAG